CUUUCAACAACGGAUCUCUUGGUUCUGGCAUCGAUGAAGAACGCAGCGAAAUGCGACAAGUAAUGUGAAUUGCAGAAUUCAGUGAAUCAUCGAAUCUUUGAACGCACAUUGCGCCCCUUGGUAUUCCGGGGGGCAUGCCUGUUCGAGCGUCAUU
rnacentral:rRNA from 1 species